rnacentral:lncRNA from 1 species
CUUGUAGCCAUGUCUGAAGAUUGGCCUUGUGCCUUUUUAGACUUUGAUCUGGUAGCAGGACCAAUCUUGCCUACAAAAAGGGGUAUGUAGUUUAGUCUUGAUAAACAUUAACAGUAUGCAUGUUGUGCAAUAUGUCAGUUUUUAGGGGGCUUUUUAAUGUUUUCCUGCAAAACAAAGGUUAGUUAUUUUGAUGACAGGAUAGCAUGACAGGAUUUGAUAUUUGACAUGUAAUUUACAUUUAAUAUGUGACAGGAAUUGACAUUUAACAUUUACUGAAAGAGGAAAGACAUGAAGAAACAUCCCUUCGCGUUUGGUUUAUCAGAGACUGACCUAUCUCUUAAGUUUACUCUCACAAGCUUUUUGGCAUGAAGGUUACCAGAUCAUCGCAAUUUACUAGAUGAAAAAUUAAUCCGAUCUUUUAAUUGGAGCGGAUCUGAGUGGCACUUUUCUUGAGCCUCGCGGGAUUAUUAUCAUCUUGAGUCCAGUAAUUAGACACCGACGGGUUAGCCUCCUGGUGGAGGAAUCACACAACAUACAUUCAUACAUUCACACAUUCAUCACCCCUCACCGCAUGCAUGAUGACAUUGUGUGAAGCACUAAUAUAAAGCGUUGUAAAAAAACAUUCAUUCACAUCCAUUCAAUGUAAAGAACAUCAUUCGCACACAUGUAGAUAAAAGAAAAAUUGAAAAGAUUGAAAUGUGGCUUAAGCCCUCUACUGUCCCCAGCAGAGUCGCCACCUGUCGACGCCGGGUUUUUUCCUUUUUAUGUUUCCCUUUUCUAAGUGUUUUUCUACCCUUUAUUUUAUGUUGAUUUUAUUUAUCUCUCUUAAAGGGUGAGAUUUUAAAAAAAUACUGACAUGCAUGUCGACGAUUUGAAAAGAUUGAUUUUGAUUAUUGUGCCGAAUUAGACUGAGCCGCCAGUUAGUAUGAGUUCAAAUGGUUGUACCAACUCAACCGAGUUUUGAAAGGUUUUCACAAUAUGACCCAAUAUGCGACUCCAUUUAAUUGGUCUUAAAAUCGAGAUUCAUAGAGUUCGGGAGCUUACUUAAGCGAGGGGAAGGUGUUAAGUACCUCCCGACUUUCGUGAAACACGGUUACCGUUACUUCUUUAUUCCCUAUGCAUUGUGUGUAUGUGUUGAAAGCUUUUGUUUUGUAAGGAUAUUUUAUGCUUUGUUUUGAAAGUAGUUUUCUACGUCUUUGAACCUAUGUACAAAGGGUUUGAUUUACAUAAAAUUCAAAUUUAAACAAGAUAAGAAAGUGAGGUUUUGAAAUAUGAUUUUCAAACCCUUUUGCCCGAAUAGGAAUCGAGACCCUUUGAUACUUCCAAUUUUAUUCUAAUGACUUUAUUUGAUUUUAUUUCUCAAGAUGCGAAGCAUUUUUGAAACUAAAUAUGAACUAUUUACAAAGGUCGAACUUCUUAUGAGCAUAUAAGCUAUCGAAGUAAGCCCGAACACCAUAUACAUAAUUUUUCACUAUUUUAGAGCCUUAAAUCCGGAUAACCAUUUUAAGGUCCCAGAUUUACAUGUACAAAGGGUUGCAUGUUAACCGUACAACUUAAACAAGUCCAUCACGGGAACCGAGUUUAGAUUCAUUGCUUGAAUCUUUACCCGAAUGGUUCCUAGGCUCACAUCAAUCAUUUAACAAUUUGCACAAUGAAAAUAUUGCAAUAAAAUAGAUAUUUACAUUAAACUGCGCCAAACAAGUGAUUUAUUGAUCAAAUCCAUGUAGACAAGUCAUCAAGCUUCUCGUUUACUCUAAAUACAAAUCUAGGGUCACGUGGUUGCUUAAUAUUUACAAAAACUAGAAAGAAAACUAGAUCUAUCCAAAUCUUAGCCAUUCUAACUCAACGGUUCAGAUUUUAUAACUUUUAAACCGGUUCAAAGCUAGAUCUAGUAUAGAUCUAAUCAAUACAUUGAUAAAUAUCGACUAUUUAUAGAAAAUGAACGAUUAAAACCGCUAUCUAGGAACAACCAAGCAAUAUCUAUGUAUAUACAACACUUGUGUGUAUAUAUAUAUAUAUAUAUAUAUAUAUAUAUAUAUAUAUAUAUAUAGUAAAGCAAGAAUUGAAAACAUAUCUGAAGAGAUCUUAUAGUCUAGCACGAGAACUGCUAUCGAACAGCUUUUAACACCUUUAAACUCAAUUUCCACUAGUUAAAAUUGAUAUGUUAAAAUAUAUAUUUAUAGAAGUGUUACAUAAGAGAUUUACAAAGAUUGAAGUAAGAUUUGAGCUGUUUCUCACUCUAGGUCUCAUAUUUUCUCUCUCCUAGACCCUUUCUCUCUCUAAAAUUGCUGAAAAUGAGCUGCGGGUUUGAUAUAUAUAGACCUGCGACAGCCACAGGUGUAUUAGUAGAGCACCAGCGUGAAAUCAAGACGGUAAGAACAUCAUAGUCCUGGAUGUGAAGAUCCCUACAUAGCUAAAUGCAUCGCAGAAUGUCAACCCUCUUCAGUAUAUCCACAUAAUCUGAAUUUUUGAGGAUCUCGUCGAUCCAAUGUUGCCACCCCUAUAACGACCCCAAAAUCAAAACAAUUUUCACUCCCGAUUUGUUCGUUAAAUAUAACUUUAUUCUAAUUCUCCGCUAAUAAUUAAUAUUAUAAUAGAUGAAACUUGUGCAUUUACAACUGUAUACAACAUUCAAAUCAAUAAAGAUAUUAAAAUUUAGUUAUUAUUUUUUAAAAAGAAAAACUUUUAUCAUAAUUUAAUAACAUCCAUAAAUUCUUAAACAUUUUUCAUCGAUUUUCGUCCCUGAAAUCGCAACCUUUAUAACUAUAAUCCAACAACUAUGUAUUCAAGAUAUACCAUCUCUCAUAAAUUAUUGACACCAUAUCAAUAUACUUUACAAAGUAAAUGUAAAGUUACAUAUCAAAUUCAAAAUGAAUAUCAUUUGUUUCAUGAUUCAAAGUUUUACAUGAUUUAGCUUAUAUACAUCGUAAACCGCAAUCUCAGUUUAGUAUGAAUCCAACUAAAGAAAACAAUUAAAAACUUUUGUUUUAAGCGCGCCCCAAGUCUACACCAUAAUCACGAGAUAAUAACAUUCUUAAUCUGCAAAAUUAUUUACAAGAAUGAGCACGAUAGCCCUGCAAGUUAAGCUAACACAUUUUAUGCUUCACAUACUAUACAUGUCUUGCAUUGCAUUCAUGCGUCAGGUAUUUCAUGUUGUGCAUUUCAUAAAUACAGACCUCAAAUGUUUCAUGUUACGUAAUUUACAUAUGUUCUUCAAUUUACAUACAUCACAUCUAACUAUUUCCACAUAAUACAUGCUUUACACAAACAUAUACUUCAAGUUCACAUAGAACAAUAAUAUUUUAGUUCUUUAUUGCAAAUCAACAGUUUAACACAUCCAUAUAGAAUAUUUUCACGUAACAACAAAAUAUAUACUUACUGAAAGAACUUGCAUGUAUCAUUGUUCACCAUUUUACGCUCAUUGAACAUCCAUUGUAUAACUUUACUUGUUGUUUAAUAUCCUCCGCACAUUACUCUUUGUUGUAUAACCCUUUUGUUGAUCCACAUUAAGCUUCCUUACCACAACUUCUUUUAGUUUUUUUUACUGCAUAUAGGAUACACCUGUUGAGUUGUAAACAUAUUAGAGAAAUGAUCCACAAAAGCAUUUUUAACCUCAUCAUAAUCUUCCAACAUAAUUUCGUCAACACCCUUAUACUUAGAAUCUUGUUUCUAGCUCUAUUAAAGUUCACCAUCUUAUGAAAGUAAGUAGUAUUAUCAUCCCUCAAAUUCAACCGUUGAUUCCUAGAUUUUGCUUAGCAAAAACUUUCUUCAGCUUCCCUCAACUCAAAGCAUAUUUUUAAAUCUUUCAAAGCAUAUUUCACAUUGUUCAAUUUUUUUACAGUAUAUAUAUAUAUGGGGAUUUAAUAUUAUAUGUAUAUACGAUAUAUAAUGUUUAUCAAGGGAAUUAUAUGCUUAUACAUACUAACAUAUAUGUAUUUCAUAGUGUACACACCAUUAUACACCAUUGGUUUGACAGGCUAAAGUGAUGAGUACCUUAUAUCCAUUAUUUGCCUUUCAUACUGGUGCCUAUAUUUUACACACCAAGCUUACAUCAUUUCACACAAAUGUAUGCUUAUUUUAAAACACUAUACUCAACAUAAUGUAAUAUCAUAUUGAUGUAUCUUACACUGACACAAACAGUUUUCAUAUUAUUACUUACUAUACAAUACGUUUAUUUAAUAUAUAUAUAUAUAUAUAGUAAGUAACAUAGUGACUUAUUAUAGUGUUUAUGAAACUUACACAUUAUUUGCCUCAUGAAACUUACCUGAUUUACAAUGGCAUACAAGGAAUUCUCAUAAAUACAUAUAUCAAUAUGAAAUCCUCUCUUCACCAAUUUCCUUAAAAAUCAAACCAGUUCCAUCUAUUUCCCCAUUUUUACAAAAACACUGAAACAUAACAUAGUAAGUUAAAUCAUCUACUUUAAGCCUCUUAUCAUGCAAUUCUUUAAGAACCUCUUUAGCUAACAAUCCCUCAUUUUCUCUACACAAAGCCCCAAUAGAUUUUAAGUUAAAAGAGCAAAUGGGUAUUUGGAAAAUUAGAUUUUAGAGUACCAAAUCUAUCAAUUAAUGAAGUCAGCAACAAACAGUGGCGAAGCCACAUAGAACUUUGUGGGGUCAAUCGACCCCACUGAAAAAAAAUUGCUUUAUAAUAUAAGGUAAAUUUAAAUUUUUUUAAGUAUUAUAUAUAAAUUAACUCUAUUAAAAUUUUAUAAAUUUUCUAUUAUACGGGAUCAAAUUGAAAAUUUAUAAUCACAUAUGACUCAUAUCCUCUCAAUAUAUGUAUCUCUAUAAUAUUUCAAACUAAAUAAUAAUUUAAUUUAUAUUAUUUUUAAAAAUAAUUAAUGAAUUACUUAUUAUGAACAGUUGUGAUUAAAAAAGUCUAUUAUGAGUUAAUAUAGUGUAUAUAUACCAUAUAUUAUUACUUAUUAUAUUUUCAUUGUAAUAUAUAUAUAUAUAUAUAUAUACUCGAAAAUAUAAAGUAUUAAAAAAAAUUGACUCGGGGCAUGCCCCCAACCCCCACCAAAUUAUUUGUAAUUCAGUAAUAAUUUCAAUCUCACUUACAAAAAUUUCUGGCUUGGCCACUGACAACAAACACAUCAAUUGUGAGGUUUAAUCAAUGUGCUCUGUUUCUCCGUACUACAAUACCCAAACUAAUUAAUGAAUGAAAAGAAACAUUAAGUUUAAGAGAGAUGGGGACGAAAUGGAAAUAAAAAAUUUUGAUUAUGGAGGAUUGCAAUAUAUGUUUGAGCAAGAUAACCUCAUAUAGGUAUUUUAUCAAACACAUAUUCUGCAUACUUUAAAAACUCAAAUCUUCUAUGAAUUUAAAGCAUAGACUUCACUCCAUAAUCCAUUUCAUCCUUAUACUUCGAAUCCUUCAUGAUUUCCAAAUUAAUUCGUACUCCCACAACAACAAUUCAUAACAAUAACAAUUAUUCUCUACUUUAGUUUUCAUGAGUUUAUCAAAUAAGUAUAACUUACCUUGCUUGCGUUGGGACUUUGGCUAAAUCCACGCUUCAGUGGCUGAUUUGAACCAUUACUUGAAUGGUAUUUUACUCUAAUCCUUCCUUAAAUUUAGUUGGUAACUGUUGGAAAAUUUGGUGAUUUCUUUACAGAAAUUAAAGAUGUUUGCAAGAAUUAAUAAGGAAGUUGGGCAUGAGACUUGUUUUGGGACGGAUAGGAGAAAACAGGGAAUGGAGUGGCUGUACAUAUUGCAUAAGGCUAAGAAAUCUUACUCACUUUCCACUAAAGUAGAAAAGCUAGGUGUCACACUAGUUGCUAAAUAGCACAACACCUCCUGCUAAAUUAUUGACUCAGCAUUCAUCAUAUACGCAUAAUAUAUAUUAUAUAUCGUAUACAUAUCACUUAUUCCACCC